rnacentral:snRNA from 1 species
AUACUUACCUGGCAAGGGAGAUAGUGUGAUCAAGAAAGCAGUUCACCCAGGGCGAGGCUCAGCCAUUGCACUGCGGCUGUGCUGACCCCUGCGAAUUUCCAAAUGUGGAAAUCUCGAUUGCAUAAUUUAUGGUAGUGGGGGACUGCGUUCGCGCUCUCCCCUG